rfam:Phanerochaete carnosa HHB-10118-sp unplaced genomic scaffold PHACAscaffold_2, whole genome shotgun sequence.
GUCCCCGUAGUUUAAUGGUUAUGACGUCAGACUUCUACGAUUACGUACCAUCUGAAGGCUGUGGGUUCGAGUCCCACCGGGGAUG